rnacentral:rRNA from 1 species
GACGAGGGAUCCUAGCGUUGUUCGGAAUCAUUGGGCGUAAAGCGGGUGUAGGUGGCUUUGUAAGUCAGGUGUGAAAUCCCAGGGCUUAACCCUGGAAGUGCAUUUGAUACUGCGAAGCUUGAGUGCUGGAGAGGUUACUGGAAUACCUGGUGUAGUGGUGAAAUACGUAGAUAUCAGGUGGAACACCGGAGGCGAAGGCGGGUAACUGGCCAGACACUGACACUGAGACCCGAAAGUGCGGGGAUCAAACAGG